UGGAAGACAGUUCCACCAGCUGUGUAGGACCCAGGGGGAUCCACAGCCCAGUUCCCAUUGAUGAUGGACCUGCCCCCAGGGCCACGAAGAGCUGAAAGGGAGAGAUCCGGAACUUGGAGACUCCACAGCCAUCUGGACGCUUGCCAGACCCGAGGAUGCCAUCACAGCCAGGGCUCUGGGAAGAGUGAGGUGAGGCAGGGUCACAUGGAAACCAGAUGCCCCGUUACUCACCCUGGUCCACGCGGGGCCCUCAGCUCAUCACCAGCCUUGCUGCGGUGCUCUUCACCAGCCCCAGCGCCCUGGCCACGCUCGGGGAUGUGGGGAGCCUGACGGGAGCCCUCCUCAGCGUGGCAGGCCAGCGCUUCCCCUGGGGGAGUCUGUUACUUUGUGGUUGUAACGAUGACUGAAAGAGACUGUGUGCACAUGCACACCCUGUCCUCCCUCACCAGACAGCGUCCAGCCACACAGAUGUCGGGGGCUCCAGGCUGACACAGGGUCCCAUCCUGGACCUUUUCAGUGUGACGGACGUAGAAACGGAAGCCGCGGGGACGGCAGUUCAGCUCACAGCGUUGGGAUCCCUGAACUAGAAGACAAGGUAGAAGGGCCUGGGUGUGGACGGAUCCAUCAGCAGAUGUCUGUGAGACCUCUGGAAGCCAUUCUUCAGGUCUCAGCAUGAAGCUGUUGAGCAGUCUGGAUUGUUCCACAGCCCGAGAAGCGCGCCUCUUUGAUUUAAUUGACCUUGAGCCACCCUCAAGUCCAUUCUCCGAGUCUGGAGCCAGGAGGACCCCAUCUGCUCUGCAGCCUGCCAGGGACCUGUCUUCAGCAGCUGACUCUAUUCCCUGGCUCGUGGCCCCAGAUUACUAGGGAUCUGAACACCAAGAGGGGCUCGUCGCUGCCCACUGACGGAUGACUGAGAACAGAUGAGGAAACUGAGGCACAGAAUGAUAAAGGAAAUUGCCUAGGAUCACAAGAAUUAGGCAACCUUCAUUUCAUAAAAGAGCAUUCCUAUGGGCUGAGCUGAAGAGGUUGGUUUAUAUAAAGAAAGUCUGAAGAAAGAAGCAACACAAGAACAAAUAGCAAACUGGUAUUUCAAUUACUUUCCUUGUAAAGUGGAUUACUUCCUCUUUCAGAAAUAUCUACUAUAGGGCUGGGGCUGUAGCUCGGUGGUAGAGUGCUUGCCUUGCAGGUGUGAGGCCCUGGGUUCAAUCCUUAACACCACAUAAAAAUAAAUAAUAAAGAUGUUGUGUCCAUCUACAACUAAAAAAUAUUUUUAAAAAAGAAAUAUUUACUUCUGUUAAUGUAGAUAUAUAUAUUUGUGGGUGUAUGUGUGUAGUGCUGGGGAUUGAAUGUUAAUGGAUAUUAAACUCUCUAUAGAGCUAACAUUCUUGAGAUAAUGUUUUGGGGGCUGGGGAUGUGGCUCAAGCGGUAGUGCCCUCGCCUGGCAUGCGUGCGGCCCGGGUUCGAUCCUCAGCACCACAUACAAACAAAGAUGUUGUGUCCGCCGAUAACUAAAAAUAA